AUAGAUAAAUUAUGAGCACAUCAAAUACCCCCAAACUUAAUAUUUUGCUAGUCCUCGAGCAAAAACUACGAAAAGAAAAUUCUAACUAAACCACUUUCGCAGGUUAUCGCGAUUGCAUUUAGCAUAUGCAACAAGCCUUUAAACCCCUAGGCGGCCCUAGUGGACGAGUUAUAGUCUCGUGAGGGUUUCCAGCGAUGAUACCCACAAACAUAAUCAAAAAUGCCUCAAAGAUUGCAUAAAGUAUAUAGCUCAAAGAAAAUUAAAAAUAUUAGCAAAGUUCUAACUUUAAUUCAAUGGUCAGCCUCAUCUCAUAUUGGAUUCUUGUGUUGUGUGUGAAUCAAUUCAAUCAAAACCCAUUCUCAAGAUCUUCAACAUUAACAGCCCUUGUCUCGAAUAAUAAACAGAGUAGGUCAAACUAACCUCAUCAUCUUGAUCUUUUUUUUUUUUUUUUUUUUUUUUUUUUUUUUUUUUUUUUUUUUUUUUUUUUUUUUUUUUUUUUUUUUUUUUUUUUUUUUUUUUUUUUUUUUUUUUUUUUUUUUUUUUUUUUUUUUUUUUUUUUUUUUUUUUUUUUUUUUUUUUUUUU
rnacentral:lncRNA from 1 species